rnacentral:rRNA from 1 species
AGAGCAAUCGAAGCAGUGAACUUAAGCCCCAGUAAACGGCGGCCGUAACUAUAACGGUCCUAAGGUAGCGAAAUUCCUUGUCGGGUAAGUUCCGACCCGCACGAAAGGCGUAACGAUUUGGGCACUGUCUCAACAACAGACUCGGUGAAAUUGUAAUUCCGGUGAAGAUGCCGGAUACCUGCGACAGGACGGAAAGACCCCAUGGAGCUUUACUGUAGCUUGACAUUGGGUCUUGGUACUACAUGUACAGGAUAGGUGGGAGGCUUUGAAACCAGGACGCCAGUUUUGGCGGAGCCAUCCUUGGGAUACCACCCUUGUAGUACUGGGACUCUAACCAUAGGCCAUGAAUCUGGUCUUGGGACACUGUCAGGUGGGCAGUUUGACUGGGGCGGUCGCCUCCCAAAAGGUAACGGAGGCGCUCAAAGGUUCUCUCAGUACGGUCGGAAAUCGUACGUAGAGUGUAAAGGCAAAAGAGAGCUUGAUUGCAAGACAUACAGGUCGAGCAAGGAUGAAAAUCGGACUUAGUGAUCCGGUGGUUCUGCGUGGAAGGGCCAUCGCUCAACGGAUAAAAGCUACCCUGGGGAUAACAGGCUUAUCUCCCCCAAGAGUCCACAUCGACGGGGAGGUUUGGCACCUCGAUGUCGGCUCAUCACAUCCUGGGGCUGUAGUAGGUCCCAAGGGUUGGGCUGUUCGCCCAUUAAAGUGGUACGCGAGCUGGGUUCAGAACGUCGUGAGACAGUUCGGUCCCUAUCCGUCGCAGGCGUAGGAAAUUUGAGAAGACCUGUCCUUAGUACGAGAGGACCGGGAUGGACGUACCUCUGGUGUACCAGUUGUUCUGCCAAGGGCAUGGCUGGGUAGCUAUGUACGGAAUGGAUAAGCGCUGAAAGCAUCUAAGCGCGAAGCCAACUUCAAGAUAAGAUUUCCCACCGCAAGGGUAAGACCCCAGAAAGACUAUCUGGUUGAUAGGUCGAAGGUGUAAGUGCAGCAAUGUAUUUAGCUUAUCGAUACUAAUAGGUCGAGGACUUGACCAA